AUGAGGGGUAGGGGAGCAUUGUAAUUGCGUCGAAGGUGUACCUGCGAGGGAUGCUGGAGCGAUUACAAACGAAAAUGUAGGCAUAAGUAACGAUAAUGCGGGCGAGAAACCCGCACGCCGAAAGACCAAGGUUUCCCCAGCUAUGCUAAUCAGCUGGGGGUCAGUCGGGACCUAACGCGAACCCGAAGGGGAUAGUGGAUGGACAACAGAUUAAUAUUUCUGUACCUGCUCACGCU
rnacentral:rRNA from 1 species